GGCGUGAUAGCUCAAUUGGGAGAGCGUACGACUGAAGUUCGUAAGGUCGGGUGUUCGAUCCACCCUCAGGCCA